rnacentral:RNase_P_RNA from 1 species
GUGGUGGGGCCGAUGGUCGCGGUUGGCCGGCUUGAGGGGCCACCCGAGGAAAGUCCGAGCUCCACAGGGCAGACCGCCAGGUAACGCCUGGGCGCCGCGAGGCGACGGAACAGGGCCACAGAGAACAGACCGCCCUUUGUAUCCAAAGGGUAAGGGUGAAACGGUGGGGUAAGAGCCCACCGCGCGCCCGGCAACGGGCGUGGCACGGCAACCCCCGGUCGGAGCAAGGCCAAAUAAGCAGCGAGACCCGGCCCGGGUCGUCUGAGCUGCGGGUAGGCCGCACGAGAUGGCUGGCGACAGCUAUCCCAGAGAGAUGACCAUCUGCUCGUACCAACGAGUAAACAGAACUCGGCUUAUGGUCUCACCACUUCC